rnacentral:misc_RNA from 1 species
GAUGAAGAACGUAGUGAAAUGCGAUACUUGGUGUGAAUUGCAGAAUCCCGUGAACCAUCGAGUCUUUGAACGCAAGUUGCGCCCGAAGCCAUCAGGUUGAGGGCACGUCUGCCUGGGCGUCACAUAUCGUUGCUCGAUGCCUAUCGCAUUGCGAUAGGACUUAGGGCGAAUGAUGGCUUCCCGUGAGCGUUGUUGCCUCGCGGUUGGUUGAAAAUCGAGUCCUUGGUAGGGUGUGCCAUGAUAGAUGGUGGUUGAGUGACGAACGAGACCCAAUCAUGUGAGACCCCUACCGAAUUUGGCCUUCAUGACCCACAUGCGUCUUUGGAACGCUCAUGACGAGACCUCAGGUCAGGCGGGGCUACCCGCUGAGUUUAAGCAUAUCAAUAAGCGGAGGA